AGCUUUCCUCAGUGGCAGUAUCGUCACCAAUGAGAUUUAUCUGAAGUGCAAUUAUUGCUAAUUGAAAAGUAUUUCUAAUCUC
rnacentral:snRNA from 1 species